rnacentral:rRNA from 1 species
UGGGGAAUAUUGGACAAUGGGCGAAAGCCUGAUCCAGCCAUGCCGCGUGUGUGAAGAAGGUCUUCGGAUUGUAAAGCACUUUAAGUUGGGAGGAAGGGCAGUAAGCGAAUACCUUGCUGUUUUGACGUUACCGACAGAAUAAGCACCGGCUAACUCUGUGCCAGCAGCCGCGGUAAUACAGAGGGUGCAAGCGUUAAUCGGAAUUACUGGGCGUAAAGCGCGCGUAGGUGGUUCGUUAAGUUGAAUGUGAAAGCCCCGGGCUCAACCUGGGAACUGCAUCCAAAACUGUCGAGCUAGAGUAGGGCAGAAGGUGGUGGAAUUUCCUGUGUAGCGGUGAAAUGCGUAGAUAUAAGAAGGAACACCAGUGGCGAAGGCGACCACCUGGGCUCAUACUGACACUGAGGUGCGAAAGCGUGGGGAGCAAACAGG